AAAAUAUGUUAAAACAUUUGAUUAUUAUUUAUAAGAAAAAUAAGGUCUAAAAUCGAGGUGGUCCGAGACAUAUUUAAAGUUCUCCGACUAGUCCAUAGUGUCAAAAAUGUUUGGAACCACCGAACUAAACAAUAUAAAGUCUAUUGAUACAACGGCCACUGAAAUAAAUCCGGAGGUCUUUCGAAUUAGACCCCCGAUUAUAACGGACUAUUUCUUUGCUAUCAUUUACAUAUUGUAUGAUUAUCACAGUCGUGAUUAUAAUCUUAUUCCGGUAUCAAAUACAAUUUUUCAUAUCGCGAAGACUAUAAUAAUUCUAUUCUGGUCUAGUUUUGUUCUUCGUGUCUUGUAU